GACCUGAUUGUCUUCACAGUUUAAUAAAUAAAUAAAUUUAUGCUGAUUAUCAAGUAUAGAAAAAUUUGGAAUUCUUUGGCAAACAAAGUCAAAGAGAGCAUCUCUAUCUGAUUUAAAAUUUUCACAGUUAGUUAAAAAAUGGAUUUCAUCUUCAACACAGCCAGAGGAGCAUUUUUUGCAAAUUCUUUCAUUUCGUGGAAUAUUUGAAAAACGACCAACUUCAAUUUGAAGCUUAUGAGCAGAAAUACGUAAUUUGCAUAUAGAUCUUCUAAAAUCAAAGUUCUUAAUUAAAGAAAGAUAAUUUUCAUAACCAAAAUUCUGCUUAAAUUUCACAUAAUUAAACAGUUUUCCA
rnacentral:lncRNA from 1 species